GAGUUUGAUCGUGGCUAGGAUGAACGCUGGCGGCGUGCCUAAUACAUGCAAGUCGAGCGAACGGACGAGAAGCUUGCUUCUCUGAUGUUAGCGGCGGACGGGUGAGUAACACGUGGAUAACCUACCUAUAAGACUGGGAUAACUUCGGGAAACCGGAGCUAAUACCGGAUAAUAUUUUGAACCGCAUGGUUCAAAAGUGAAAGACGGUCUUGCUGUCACUUAUAGAUGGAUCCGCGCUGCAUUAGCUAGUUGGUAAGGUAACGGCUUACCAAGGCAACGAUGCAUAGCCGACCUGAGAGGGUGAUCGGCCACACUGGAACUGAGACACGGUCCAGACUCCUACGGGAGGCAGCAGUAGGGAAUCUUCCGCAAUGGGCGAAAGCCUGACGGAGCGACGCCGCGUGAGUGAUGAAGGUCUUCGGAUCGUAAAACUCUGUUAUUAGGGAAGAACAUAUGUGUAAGUAACUGUGCACAUCUUGACGGUACCUAAUCGGAAAGCCACGGCUAACUACGUGCCAG
rnacentral:rRNA from 1 species